UUUAUACUAAGCUAUUAAUGUUUUAAUAAAAAACACACUUUAUUAGUUCCACCUGGGUAAUGACACUUGGGUCCGAGAGAACCAGUGGCCUUCGAGUUUUUAAGUUUUUAUCUACCAAUCCAAAUAUUUGUACAAAGAAAAUAUGCCCUACCUUGAGCUAUAGUUCUAUAUUCUGUUUUUACUUUUAACAAGAAGUAGGCCUGAAUGAUGUACACUGCCUAUUUUUGUUCCAGGUAAAUUUCCUUGUAAAGCUUGGAGAAUUGCAAAUGUUUGGUGUUAAUGUAUGAGAGUACUUCAUAUGUAAACAAUAUUGAUGAAGUUGUCUGCUUAUUUGGGGCCAAAUAAGAAGGAGAGAAAUUUUCUUGGAAAAGAAUCGAAAGCAAUAAAGAUAAGAUAUCAUGACAGAAGAAUGCAGAAGGGUUGCUCAGCUCUUAACUUCGCCUUAUAAUCUUUAUUUAUUUCAAUUGUGUUGUAAGAAGUAUUUUUUAAACAGUAAAACUUUCUCCAAUUUAUA